GUUCUAAAGUGUCUCCUGUGGGAUGGUAUAUUUUGCACUCUACCUUAAGUUUUCCUUAAAAUAUGUUUGAAGUCAGGGGCUGCGUCUUACAAAGAAUCUCUGGCAUUUUCUACCAAAGUGAGUGACACAUAGCAUAUACUAAGAAAGCUGACAUUUUCCAUUUCAAUUACACAGCUAGAUGGCAUUUUCUACCAAAGUGAGUGACACAUAGCAUAUACUAGGAAAGCUGACAUGUUCCAUUUCAAUUACACAGCUAGAUGGCAUUUUCUACCAAAGUGAGUGACACAUAGCAUAUACUAGGAAAGCUGACAUGUUCCAUUUCAAUUACACAGCUAGAUGGCAUUUUCUACCAAAGUGAGUGACACAUAGCAUAUACUAGGAAAGUAGAUAUGUUCCAUUUCAAUUACACAGCUAGAUGGCAUUUUCUACCAAAGUGAGUGACACAUAGCAUAUACUAGGAAAGUAGACAUGUUCCAUUUCAAUUACACAGCUAGAUGGCAUUUUCUACCAAAGUGAGUGACACAUAGCAUAUACUAGGAAAGCUGACAUGUUCCAUUUCAAUUACACAGCUAGAUGGCAUUUUCUACCAAAGUGAGUGACACACAGCAUAUACUAGGAAAGCUGACAUGUUCCAUUUCAAUUACACAGCUAGAUGGCAUUUUCUACCAAAGUGAGUGACACUUAGCAUAUACUAGGAAAGCUGACAUGUUCCAUUUCAAUUACACAGCUAGAUGGCAUUUUCUAUCAAAGUGAGUGACACAUAGCAUAUACUAGGAAGCUGAUAUGUUCCAUUUCAAUUACACAGCUAGAUGGCAUUUUCUACCAAAGUGAGUGACACAUAGCAUAUACUAGGAAAGCUGACAUGUUCCAUUUCAAUUACACAGCUAGAUGGCAUUUUCUACGAAAGUGAGUGACACAUAGCAUAUACUAGGAAAGUAGACAUGUUCCAUUUCAAUUACACAGCUAGAUGGCAUUUUCUACCAAAGUGAGUGACACAUAGCAUAUACUAGGAAAGCUGACAUGUUCCAUUUCAAUUACACAGCUAGAUGGCAUUUUCUACCAAAGUGAGUGACACUUAGCAUAUACUAGGAAAGCUGACAUGUUCCAUUUCAAUUACACAACUAGAUGGCAUUUUCUACCAAAGUGAGUGACACACAGCAUAUACUAGGAAAGCUGACAUGUUCCAUUUCAAUUACACAGCUAGAUGGCAUUUUCUAUCAAAGUGAGUGACACAUAGCAUAUACUAGGAAAGUAGAUAUGUUCCAUUUCAAUUACACAGCUAGAUGGCAUUUUCUACCAAAGUGAGUGACACACAGCAUAUACUAGGAAAGCUGACAUGUUCCAUUUCAAUUACACAGCUAGAUGGCAUUUUCUACCAAAGUGAGUGACACAUAGCAUAUACUAGGAAAGCUGACAUGUUCCAUUUGAAUUACACAGCUAGAUGGCAUUUUCUACGAAAGUGAGUGACACAUAGCAUAUACUAGGAAAGUUGACAUGUUCCAUUUCAAUUACACAGCUAGAUGGCAUUUUCUACCAAAGUGAGUGACACAUAGCAUAUACUAGGAAAGUUGACAUGUUCCAUU
rnacentral:lncRNA from 1 species